UACGUAGGUGGCAAGCGUUGUCCGGAUUUACUGGGCGUAAAGAGCGCGCAGGCGGUCGGAUAAGUCGAAUGUGAAAGCCCCCGGCUCAACUGGGGAGGGUCAUUCGAUACUGUUCGACUCGAAGGCAGGAGAGGGAUGCGGAAUUCCAGGUGUAGCGGUGAAAUGCGUAGAUAUCUGGAGGAACACCGGUGGCGAAGGCGGCAUCCUGGGCCGGUACUGACGCUGAGGAGCGAAAGCGUGGGGAGCAAACAGG
rnacentral:rRNA from 1 species